rnacentral:tRNA from 1 species
UAGGCCUAUGAAAUCAAUUCUAACCCAAAUUUGCACUUUAGGUAUGCUAGGCCU